ACGAUGCUUUUAGCUAUGGCAGUCUUAACCCGACUCAGACAUCGUCACCAAUGGAUGACGAUACAUAUUUCUCGUACCCAAACCUAUUCACAUCUCAAGGCUCCAAGUAAGCAAAUGAGGCUUAGUUUCCAGUUUUGUGAUUACUCUUUCUUGAGAUUUGUUUCCUUUAGGGGAAAUAUUCGAGGUUUUGUUGUGUGUUGUAUGUAUGUGUUCAAACAAACUGCUGUAAAUUUGAUUCGCAAUUUUGUUUGUUGAUGUAACCAUAUGUUGAGCGCCAAGAAUUUUUCCAAUCUUCAUCUUCAUCAAUGGCCAACGGUGAAGGCAUAGAGUGCAGUUUGAGGCAAUUAGAAUGGAUUUUAAAUUUGAAUAUACACAACUUUUUGCCGUUACUAAUUGCACAUUCUUAAAAAUGAACUUGUCUAAUUCCAAACUACCAAGCUACAAAAUCCUCAGCCAAACAAUCUCCCGCUUGAUAAUAUCAAUAAUAGUCAAUCGAUAGCUAAUGCAAGCACCUCUUAUUUAGUCAUGAAAUUUUUGACUCAUCCAGUGCGAGACAUCCACGUGUCAAAUUUUUAUCCCCUGCUUGAGAUAAGAUGCUAUCUUCUCAGAAUCACUAGAUAAUCAUAUCCGAUAACAACCGUCGAUCGCUUCCUCUCUUCCAAUCCUAUGCGUUCAUUCUCGUCCUAAACACCUCCUUUCAAGUUUCAACGUCCAUACAUUUUCAAAACUCUCUCUCCCUCUCUCUCUCUGCGCGCAACCACGUCGCCGCUAUAAUGGCCGCCGCUCUGCAGCAGACUCCAAUCACAUUCCGUUCCCGCUCGCCGCCGUCGGCGCAACUCCAAUCGAAACCAACAAGCAAGCUCUCCCUCUCUUCAAGUUUCAAGCUCACCAGACUGACCAUCAAACCCUACCUCCGCCGCGGGGGACGUGGCGGCGCGUGCGGCGCCAGGAUGGCCAACACCGCGUCGGCGAGCUACGCCAAUGCGCUCGCCGACAUCGCCGUCACCAAUGGCAGCCUCGCCGAGACCGCGGCGGACGUGGAGAAGCUCGUGGACAAGUUCUUCUCCGAUGAGGCGAUCAUGAGCUACUUCACCAACCCUACCGUCCGCAUCGAGGCGAAGCGGGAGAUCGUCGACGAGAUCUGCAAAUCGAUGAAUUUGCAGCCGCACGUGGCGAAUUUCUUGAACAUCCUGGUGGACAUGAAGCGUAUCGAUCUGAUAAAGGAGAUCGUGGAGGAGUUCGAUCUGAUCG
rnacentral:lncRNA from 1 species